GCGGGGGUGCCCGAGCUAGGACAAAGGUCUUCGUCCGUCCAUAGGGGGCGGACUUAGGCUCCGCUGGCGUAGGCCUGCCCGGGUUCGAAUCCCGGCCCCCGCACCA
rnacentral:tRNA from 1 species